ACCAAAUGGAGAUGGUGUAAAACCUUUGUUAGCAACCAACAUGUCACAUUAAAUUACAUCUUUGACUUGGUGACAAGAAGGAAAUUUCUUCAGUAGAAGAAAUGGGUGUGUUAGUUUUGGUAGUAAUCAGAGUUGUAUUAAUCAACAGACAUCAUUGUAAAAGCUAAAUUACUAGUGUCCAUGGGUAGAUAAUAGCAUUUUCAUUUAUUUCCUAAAUUAAAGAGAUAUUUCCUACAUAACAGUUCUUCUAAAGGGAAACCUGGCAUAUGAUUAAAAAAUACAUCUCUUGUCAGCUUGGCUUAGACUUGAGUUUCUAGUGCUGGGAGUCUAGCUCACUGCCUGAUACGCACAAAGCCCUGAGUUCCCUGGCUUUGAUCCUUGGCCCUCAAACUAACAAACCAACAAAUCCUAGUUAGAAAUAAGUCUUCCCGUAGUAGAGGACAAAGCUUUACCAAGAAAUGUUGUCCUCUCAUGAGUUUUUCCAGUUGCUUCUAUUUAAUCUCAAUAUUAAUCAUUCCCAUCUCAAACUGAGUUAUCUCCUAGACAUGAGAGGAGCUGAAGGAGCGUGUUGAGAUGCUAUAGGAGUGUUUCAAGGCAGUGCUUUUCCUGAGCUGCCAUUAGUUGUUAAAACGUAAGAAACAUGUUAUUGCCAGGUGGUGGCUCAUGCCUUUAAUCCCAGCACUCAGAAGGCAGAGGCAGGCCGAUCUACAGAGUCAGUUCCAGGACAGCCAGGGCUACACACAGAAAUUUUUGUCUCAAACAACAACAACAACAACAACAACAACAAAAAGUGACUACAAAAUAGAUUUAUAACAUAAAAGUAAUUUAUAUUUUCACACUUCUUGAAUAAUUUACUAGCAAAGGAAUAUUAAUGGCAGAAUGAUUCUAAUAUAUCGAAGAGAUAAGGGUCCAUGUGAUAAGGACUAGUGAAUGUUCAUGUUUCAUAGAAACCAACCAAAAAAUACUGAGUUGUUAAUGAAGUAUGGAAAAAUUGUUUCUAGCUUUUCCUAAAUAGUUAUGUAUAAGGAAAAUAUUUAUUAAUAAAUUAUAAGCACC
rnacentral:lncRNA from 1 species